rnacentral:rRNA from 1 species
CUUUAUGACCCAAAUCACCCUAAAAGUGCCUGAUCUUGUUGGAUCACAGAAGCUAACAAUGCUUUGUCCUGCUUAGUACUUGGAUGGUUGACUGCCUGGAAAAAUAGCAGGCGUUGUGGGCU